UGGGGAAUAUUGGGCAAUGGGCGAAAGCCUGACCCAGCCAUGCCGCGUGAGUGAUGAAGGCCUUAGGGUUGUAAAGCUCUUUCAGGGGGGAAGAUAAUGACGGUACCCCCAGAAGAAGCUCCGGCUAACUUCGUGCCAGCAGCCGCGGUAAUACGAAGGGAGCAAGCGUUACUCGGAUUUACUGGGCGUAAAGGGUGCGUAGGCGGCCUGAUCAGUCAGAUGUGAAAGCCCAGGGCUUAACCCUGGAACUGCAUUUGAUACUGUCAGGCUUGAGUAUAAGAGAGGUAAGUGGAAUUCCCAGUGUAGCAGUGAAAUGCGUAGAUAUUGGGAGGAACAUCAGUGGCGAAGGCGACUUACUGGCUUAUAACUGACGCUGAGGCACGAAAGCGUGGGGAGCAAA
rnacentral:rRNA from 1 species